CAGAGAAGACCUGGCCCUGGCGAUGGACUGCUCGGCCCGGAGCCGGGGCGCUGACCAGAGGACCGCGGCUGCUUCCACGAGGGGCGCUUCCUUGGGUGCCGCGUCCCUCCUGGUCCCAGCAGCGACUCUGAACGGCGCAGCCGGGGGCUCCCGGGGCAGAAGCGACCUCAGACUGGGGACAUCUUCCCAGACCUCUUCCCGCCGCCUCCCCUCGCGCGCCACCUGCCAGACAGUCCCUCAGAGCCGACGCUUCGUGCACUUGCUGCCCUCUGGCGGCCGAGUGGAGGUAGCACUGGGGGACGAGCGGCAGGAGGGCAGUGCGGCCCACUCCCCCAGAGACCUCCUCAUCCUCUCGGCACAGGUCCUCGGAGUCCCACUCUCUUAUCCCUGGGUCUCAUCCCCUCCCAUUCCACCUAGUCAGAGAGUGAAUCAGGGGACCUGAUCUAGAGAGAGGCUGGCUUUGGAAGACGGACAUGCAAGGGCAGGGGGCAACGGUAGAGGGGUGGGAGGGGGAGAAUGAGGGAGGGAGUAUUUCAAGGAGAGCUCUAAGGGGUAGGGAAUACCCACGCAGGAGGAAGAGCUGGCGGUCCCAGUGCACCUCGAGGGAGAGACUCUGCCACGAAUAACAGUAUCACCGCCACCACCUAAUGCUGACUGAGCCCUUGCAAUGUGCCAACUGCUGUACUGAGCUCUUCUCAUGGAUUAUUUAAAUUAACCUUCA
rnacentral:lncRNA from 1 species